UACAAAGUAGAAAGCCCGAGA
rnacentral:miRNA from 1 species